rnacentral:rRNA from 1 species
CCCUUCACUACGGAAUAGCCUCGGGAAACUGAGAGUAAUACCGUAUACGCCCUUUGGGGAAAGAUUUAUCGGUGAAGGAUUAGCCCGCGUCUGAUUAGAUAGUUGGUGGGGUAACGGCCUACCAAGUCGACGAUCAGUAGCUGGUUUGAGAGGAUGAUCAGCAACACUGGGACUGAGACACGGCCCAGACUCCUACGGGAGGCAGCAGUGGGGAAUCUUAGACAAUGGGCGCAAGUGAUCUAGCCAUGCCGCGUGAGUGACGAAGGCCUUAGGGUCGUAAAGCUCUUUCGCCAGGGAUGAUAAUGACAGUACCUGGUAAAGAAACCCCGGCUAACUCCGUGCCAGCAGCCGCGGUAAUACGGAGGGGGUUAGCGUUGUUCGGAAUUACUGGGCGUAAAGCGCGCGUAGGGGAUUGGAAAGUUGGGGGUGAAAUCCCGGGGCUCAACCCCGAACUGCCUCCAAAACUCCUGGUCUAGAGUUCGAGAGAGGUGAGUGGAAUUCCGAGUGUAGAGGUGAAAUUCGUAGAUAUUCGGAGGAACACCAGUGGCGAAGGGGCUCACUGGCUCGAUACUGACGCUGAGGUACGAAAGUGUGGGGAGCAAACUGGAUUAGAUACCCUGGUAGUCCACACCGUAAACGAUGAAUGCCAGUCGUCGGGUAGCAUGCUAUUCGGUGACACACCUAACGGAUUAAGCAUUCCGCCUGGGGAGUACGGUCGCAAGAUUAAAA